GACGAACGCUGGCGGCGUGCUUAACACAUGCAAGUCGAACGGAGUGGCGAACGGGUGAGUAACACGUGGGUGAUCUGCCUUGCACUUCGGGAUAAGCUUGGGAAACUGGGUCUAAUACCGGAUAGUGCAAGAUGAGCUCGCGGCCUAUCCGCUUGUUGGUGGGGUAAUGGCCUACCAAGGCGUCGCCGGGGAGCCGGCCUGAGAGGGUGUACGGACACAGUGGGACAGAGCUACGGCCCAGACUCCUACGGGAGGCAGCAGUGGGGAAUAGUGUACAAUGGGCGGAAGCCUGAUGCAGCGACGCCGGGUGGGGGAUGAAGGCCUUCGGGUUGUAAACGCCUUUCGACAGGGACGCGGUACCUGUAUAAGAAGCACCGGCUAACUACGUGCCAGCAGCCGCGGGAAGAC
rnacentral:rRNA from 1 species